AGCGAACGCUGGCGGCAGGCCUAACACAUGCAAGUCGAACGAACUCUUCGGAGUUAGUGGCGGACGGGUGAGUAACACGUGGGAACGUGCCUUUUGGUUCGGAAUAACUCAGGGAAACUUGUGCUAAUACCGAAUGUGCCCUUCGGGGGAAAGAUUUAUCGCCAUUAGAGCGGCCCGCGUCUGAUUAGCUAGUUGGUGAGGUAACGGCUCACCAAGGCGACGAUCAGUAGCUGGUCUGAGAGGAUGACCAGCCACACUGGGACUGAGACACGGCCCAGACUCCUACGGGAAGCAGCAGUGGGGAAUCUUGCGCAAUGGGCGAAAGCCUGACGCAGCCAUGCCGCGUGAAUGAUGAAGGUCGUAGGAUUGUAAAAUUCUUUCACCGGGGACGAUAAUGACGGUACCCGGAGAAGAAGCCCCGGCUAACUUCGUG
rnacentral:rRNA from 1 species